CUCUUUGGUGACAAAGAAUGGGAGGUGAAGGCUGAAGUUUGGAGAGGUACGAUGCAAAACAUACUGCAUUGCGAUGGAGAGCAAAUCUCAACAGAAAAAACGAUGAUCCAGAAGCAGAGAAAUACGUGAUUAUCUCAAGCACUUGGGUGCAGUGGAAUCCUGCUUUCUCUGUGAAGAGGCAAUGUGAUUUCCCUGAUAAAUGUUUACAGGGCAGUCCAGCAACUUCAGCAGAACAUGUUUUUCUGAUUUCAUGAAGAGGUUUUGGCAAAAGGUAAGUGACCCUGUGCUAAGUGGCACGUAAGGUAUGAAGGAAGUAGCCUGCCAUCUUGGGUUUCCUACAUUCAGUGCCUUGUCUGUCAGUGAGCGGUCCUCCUGCCUGAAGGCUGCAAACCCUGCCAAAGCAAGCCCUCAAAUAAAAACCGUGUUCCAAGCCAGAGUGGCGGUAACACAGCCAAGCGUCCGGAAAGUUUCUUACUGCCAUUGUCUGGGUACAAGUGUUUUAUUUCUACUGCGGUGGCGGUACACGGACACACGUUCUUUACAGAGGCUCGAGUCUAGCUCCGAAGGCGCGGGAGACCCGGCCAGGGAGGCAGGAGGAGAAGCAGAGGGAGGGGACGGUGCUUCACGCCUCCCCCGGAGGGACAGCAGGCGACAUGGCCGGCUCCUCCCCGGCUGCCUGGCUCCGCCGGGUGCUCCCCCAGGCUUCUCCCCGCCACGAGGCGGAGGAGCCGGAGCCGCAGCGUGUGUGCGGCCCGAGCAGCCCGCGGCAGCUGCCCGCCUCCCGACGCUGCCUCCUCAGCCCGGCGGCCGCGCUCCUUGUCGCGCGGCGCUAACGGCCGCUAACGGUCGCGACAACGGCCCGCGGAACGGCCGCGCGGCGAGGCCACGCCCCCACCGGGGGCUCCCCGCUCCCUGGCCCUCAACCGCGUGCGCCGCCGGUUCAGGACCGGCUCUGGACAGCGCCCCACGGCCCGCCCCCGCCUCCCAUUGGCUGGCAGCCGCCGCGGGGCCGCGGGGGCUCCUCGCGAUUGGCCGAGCCGGCUGCCGCUCAGCGGAGCGGGAGGCGGGGCCCGGCGGGCGGGGGCCGUGCCUAGCCGUGACGCGCUGCG
rnacentral:lncRNA from 1 species